rnacentral:lncRNA from 13 species
AUGGAUUUCCCAUGCUGUCAACACAAUGUUGCCUUCCUGGCUACCGUUCUCCCAUCUGAUCCUCGAUUUAGGUCAUUCCUACUUCAUCUGAUCAUUUUACUUGUAUUACCACAUCUUACCAAAAAGAUCAUAUGCUCUUUUAGGACGAGAACUACGUCUAAUAUCUUUAUUUUUUUCCUAAAAGGCUUAGCAAAAAGACUGGGCAGUGAGUGGACUCCCAACAUAUGUUUGUAAUUUGUCUAACAGAAUGCUGAAUAGCUUGACAGUAGGCGCCUAGAAUUUUAUUCUUGCUAGUCUUAAUCAGCAGCAUGCCAAUUACUAUAUGAUAGCAUAAAAAUAGGCCAUGAUGUAACUGCCGAGUGAUCAUUAUAUGACAUAAAUGUAGUCAGCCUGCUUUUUAAAAAUCCAGACAGAUGGUAAAACACUUCAUGUGAUUUCAUUCUGUGUGCUCUUGUGUCCAGUUCACAACACACAACUUCUCGCUCCCCUAUUCUCAGACACCAAGGAUCAUGGUGCUGAAAUUUUCCACCACAUUUUUCCUCUGUAUUUAGUGGGACAGAGUGUGACAUGUCACCUUCUCUAUUUUUGCUGAUACCAAAGUUGCCUGAAUUCUAAUUUACUGAGGGUAGUUUUCUCUGGGACCAACCUCAAGGCAAAAAGUCAGAAGAGUUAAAAGCACAGUCUAUAGUGUUAGACUGGAUGAGUUUGAGUACUGGUCCUGCUGAGUAUGAAUCAGCACUCCGACCUUGUGAAGUCAUCUCUCUUUUCCAAACCUCACUUUCUCACCUACAAACAGAAGACAAUAAUAGUACCCAGCACAUGGAGUCCUGUGUAAACACAGGAACUUAGACCAUCUUUCCACACACUCAGUGGGAGUUUACUGCUUCUGGAUCGAACUGAGAUACAUGCUCAUACAACUAAGUUAACUCAUUGCUUUUAAAGACAAAAUUCCUUAUCAAACUAUUUAAAGCCCAUGCCAGAAUGCAGAAAAACCCAACCAUCAUCCAGAUUUCAGUGUGUCUGUGUCUCAACUGUUUUACCAAGAAGACUAUUGCAAGAAGUUUAAGAUCCAGAGAAAUCCAUCAUACCUUAUGCCUGCCUACUGGGCUUCCCAUGAUAUAGCCAUUCUUUAUUAUUAAGAAACUGGAUCCAAUUCUACUCAUCUAUACCCCCAAUAUAAUUACAGUUCUUUUGUAAUAAUUGUUUUUUCUCUUUAUUAAAUACCUUCUCUGUUCUGGGUACUCUUCUGAAUAUUUUACAGAUAUUAUUUUAUUUAAAAUGAAAACCGUAUGAGGUAGACUGCUAUGGUUUGAAUAUGUGUCCCUUUCAAAACUCAUGUUGAAAUUUAAUUGCCAUUGUUACAGUAUUAAGAGGUAAACUAUUAAGAAAGAGGUGAUUAGGUCAUGAGGGCUUCUACCUCAUUAAUGGACUAAUACUAUUAUAAGAAAGUGGAUUCUUAUAAAAAAAAGUUGCAUUCCCCCUCUGCCUUGCUCUCUGUCCCCCACCAAGGGAUGAUUUUGCAAGAAGGCCCUCACCAGAUACAGACUCCUUGGCCUUGAACUUCCUAGUUUCCAAAACUGUAAGAAAUAAAUUUUUGUUUUUUAUAAAUUAUUCA